rnacentral:lncRNA from 1 species
CGUUAUUAUGAGAGUGAAGGUGGACGUGCUGCUACUCCCCUCAUUCCCAACAUGAAUCAAGUACCUUCAUCGAAGAAGAAGAAAUGUACUAGGCAUGAUCUGGAGUGUAGCCACCUGCUAGCGGGCAUAAAACUUAGUACAAAUAUUUCACAAACAUUUGCCAUCAAUCAACAAAACACCCCUACACUUGAAACCAAGACCCAGUGGAAAGACUCCCACCCUGAACCACAUGCCACACAGCAGCAACACUGUUUGUUAAUUUUGUAUCUUUAAAAUUAAAACAGCGGUGAUAUCAAACAAAUACUCUAGGAGUAUCUACAUAAAAUACUCUACAACUUCAGUAUUCAAUAGAUAAUUAAAUUCUGCCAUCUACAAGUUCUAAAACAUCUGACAAGAUAACUGACUGAAUCUGUUUUAGACAGCAGUAUGGUUAACUUUAAAAUUCGAUAUCUCCCAAACUACUGAACCAAAAAUUAUGAAAUUCUGCUGGAAGUAAGAACUUUUAUCCCUCUACAAAAGUCUCCAUAGUUGGAAGAGCCAAUUCGACCAUUUACUAGAUGAAACCCACCAGUGAACAGACCCACUCAUUUUUGUCAGGUUAACAGGAACAGCCACAGUAAAACAAACAUAACUGGAGUUUCACAAAUCAUAUGAAUGCACUCUUUAACAAUCUGGAAAGCUUAUGAAAUUAUCUACAACUUCUUUUACCAACUCACAGUUUAAUUCUGUUGAUAAAAUUGCCUAACUCUUAAGAGAACAGAUUCUGCACAGAAUUAUGAGACUGAAAAACUGCUAUAAUGAAACUGCCAUAACUUUCUGUUCUGAUGUCCGAUUGAGAUGUUCUUCGCGGCCACGGAAAGAUCUACAACUUAUCUACGACUCAUAUAUAAACUUUUUAUUUUUUUGAGGCCACUAAGACCACGGAAAACUGGCAUGAACAGAAACUGUCGAAUCUGCCAUUCUGCAGAAAUUAAAUUCGAGAUCAAAACCUAACCCCACAUCUAAUCCAACCUCUAAUUCUUCAAUCCACAUGAUCCACAACCUCUAAAAACACAUAAUUAUAUGGAGGAACAAGGAUCCCAUCCUUACCUAGAGUUUCCCCAAGAAAAUCUACAAUAGAUGGGGGGGGUAGAACAUCUCCUUGAUCCUCUCUUCCUCUUCAAUCCAUCUUGCUCCUCCUCUUCUCGAUCCUUGCUGCGUGAGGGAGGGGAAGAUCUAUGGAGGAGGAAGAAAUGGUGGGCGGCUGCCAUGGGAGAAGAGGGGACGCCCAACCAAGGGAAAAAUGGGGGAGGGUGGCGGCCAAGAGAGGGGGGGUGGAGGGAAAAGGGGUGGCCCCCCUAGGGUUUUGUGGGAGAAAAGAACCGACGCCCCAGAUGACUUUUGCCUUUGCAUCCAACGGAUCACAACCCUUUCCCACAUCCACGCACCGAAGAUCAACUUUUAGACAACAUUUUUUUGGGAUAUUACACUCUACCCCCCUUAAAAAGAAUUCGUCCUCGAAUUCGGCCACUCCAAGCAAAACACCCAAGGUACCCCAUAUAGCACCACCAUUCAAAACAUGGGUCCAUUAUUGGUCUUAAUUAACACAAGAACUUCUACCUUGGACUAAUUGUCUAAGGAAACUACACAACCUGACAUCAAGCAUGAAACAACAUGCAAUGAAGCUCAAAGCAAGUCAUAGAUGCAAUCAACACUACAAUUUCACACCAUCAAAUUGGGACGCAACUAUACAUCAACAUCAAUGUCUUAAGACAACACUCUUUUAUGAAGGGGUAAUAUGCACUAAGCACAACCCUUACCAACUUCAAUAAUUAAUUUUAAUUAAAUGGUGAAACAUCCACACCCGACGAAUGUAUAAGAAGAUCAAACACCUCACCUCAAAGCACCACGAAACAAGUAGUUCUAUUGAAACAAAACUCCUAAUCUUCCUAAACCUUAUUCUUGCCAUCAUGAAAAGAUAAUCAUGUAAUCUAACAUUCUUUGCACCCCACAAAAGGGAGAAAAUCUACAGAACUAAUGGAGCAAUAAAGCCAACAAGAAGCGAAUAACAUUCUGCGCGGCAUAGGUCAUCGAAGAAAUGCCAAAAGCUUCACAAAGAGCACUGACAGCACAAUAACACAAUACUUGGUUAACCAAUAACAACUCAACUAAGAAAAAUAUCCAAACCAGUGAGGUUAACCUACACAUAAUAUAAGUUUUCAUCUACUGUAGUUCAUAAACUUACAUUUCAUUCUAUCAUACGAUGCACUCAAAGUACCAGACAUACAAAGUCAAUAAUAACCCCUAAUCCUUCACACAUUUGACAAACAUAUUAAGCUGAUGUAAAAACCACAUCAUCUAGGAGUAGGUGACUAGCCACACCCAACCAACUCUAGGCUAGGCAAUGACUUCCUUCAAACCAAUAGAUAGGUGGUCUAAAAAAAAUGGCUCCACAAGCAUGCAUCGAAAAGGGAACCAUCAGAUCCUCAAUGUAUCAAUACAUAAUCAAUGGAUCAAGAGAAUCAAAGAUUUAUUCUACAAUUAGUAUGACUAACAGGCAACCACUUUAAACCACAUCUAGGCUUUGUGGCAACUAAAACACACAAUAGAAGAAAGACAUGUAAGCCAUUCUGGCUAUGAAAAGACUUCCCCCAAAAAUCCAUAUAAAGUACCAAUAUUCAUUUCUUUCAGAACUGGUUUCUCAACAUAAACAAUCAUUCUUUGCAAUGAUAGUUGGAGCUAUCCACCAACCGCUCAACAACUUAAAUUCAAAUUGAUGAUUACCUUGUACCCCAAAACAUGCAAUUCACACUCCUCUUAGAAACAUCCACAAUCAAGCAUAUAUAACAAUAUUAUUGUAAUAAAACUCAACCAUGAAAAACAUGGUGAAAACAACAUAGGCAUACUUGUAUAUCACAAGCAUAAUAACAACUUCAUUCUCACAAAUGACCAGCGAUAUCUAUCGCAUUAAUAAAACAAUAUCAAAAUUUCAGAAAUAAAUUAUAUCAAGCAUUAAGCCAUAAACAACUUACCACAUAACCGUAAAGGAAUAGGGAGGGGUGAGGUUAUUGUCAUCUGCACUUCAAAGACACUAACAUAUAUCAAAGAUAUUUAAACCCAUACCCUUCCUAUAUGUGCGAGUGUGUCAAAUUUAUCUUCAAAUUGCCAAGAAUCUAAAGCCUAUGCUUUGAUACCAACUGUAACACCCCAGGAUCCCCAAACAUCCUGAAAUGCUACUAAACUACACAACUAACAUUCAUAUAUAAAAUUUUGACAGCAUCUCCUUUGAAAAUUUGCAUAAACGUGGAAGCAACAGAGUAUAAGCAGAUAUCAUGAUAAGAAAACAUACUAGACAUUAAUAAUCGGCUAGCAAUGGGAAGAUAACCAUAACGACAUGAAUUGAAUUAACUAGUGUGCAUGACUAGUUAAAGACAAACAUCCUUUGACAAGAAGUUUCUAAUUAAAUCAUGGUUGUGCCUGGGCAGCGUUAUUAUGAGAGUGAAGGUGGACGUGCUGCUACUUCCCUCAUUCCCAACAUGAAUCAAGUACCUUCAUCGAAGAAGAAGAAAUGUACUAGGCAUGAUCUGGAGUGUAGCCACCUGCUAGCGGGCAUAAAACUUAGUACAAAUAUUUCACAAACAUUUGCCAUCAAUCAACAAAACACCCCUACACUUGAAACCAAGACCCAGUGGAAAGACUCCCACCCUGAACCACAUGCCACACAGCAGCAACACUGUUUGU